CCCCUAGUUAGAUAAAUAAAUUUAGAUUAUAGAUUAUGACUUUAGCAAUAAAAAGAAAUUUUGUGCUCCAAGAUACUAAUAAAAUUUUGAGGCCUAAAUAAAUAUUUUUCUAUAUAUUGGGCUUUAUUUAAUUAUUUUUGCUUUUUGGGCUACCAUUUAAUAAUAGCCCGUAAUUUGAAUUGUAAAACAAGUAGAUUGUGAGUAUUAACUUGAAUUGAUUCUUAAUUCCCAGUUGGAUUACGUGGUCUUUCCUUUAUUCAGCCACAUUUGACAUUUUAUUCUUAGCCACGUAUCAUUUGUAUCAUUUCAAAUCGCAGUUUUAACCACCACGUAUCAUUCCAAAACCUAUCUCAUUUAAAUUCAUCCAUCAGCUAUAAUCAAUUUCAUUUUUCAGCAAUUUUUAACUCGUCUUCGUUCUGCAGAGGUAAUUUUAUUGAUUUUGAAAAUUCUAGCAAACAUCCAGCAUGAGAUAAUUUAUGUUUAUUUUCAGUAAUAAUUCACCUUUCUGCAUUAAAAAUCAAAAGAAAAAGAAAGAAUAAAAUGGAAUUAGAAACACAGAAGUAGAGUGGAGAUGGGGAAUUGUUGGUGAGCGGAUACUGGACAGACGUGAAGCGAGAGAGGCGGCUGAACGGCGCCGCCGGGCGCUGCCUGCGCCACGGCGGCCGGCGAAGAGGAAACAGGGAGGCGGCGACGGUGGUUGGGCGGCAUCAGAUCUAGAAAAGGGGAGGCGGCGGCUGGGCUGUGCUGCUGUCAACGCGGAGGCGGCGAUGGUGGCAGCUGCCGUCGACCAGAAGAGGGAGAAAUGAGAGGAGUGGUAGGUACUGACAAGGCGGCGGGAGUCACCGGAGAAGGGAGAUGGCCGCGGCAAGGCGCGGCGAGGAGAAGGGCAGAGGGGGCGAGAAAUGAGGAAGAGGGAGAGAGGUUGAGGAGAGGACAGGGGGAGCCAGAGCCGCCGGCCUCCGGCGGCGGCAGGAGGCCGAGAAGAGGAGAGGGAGAGAAGGAGAGAGAGAGUGAGGCUGCGUGAGUUUGUGUGGUGGUGUGUGUGGGUGAAUUUAAGUUAGGUGAUUGAGAGAAUGGGCUUGGGCCUAGGAUGGUUUGUUUUUAAAAUGGGCUCAGAUUUAUUAAAAAUGUUUGGGCUAAGCUUUUAAUUUAUUUAUGGGCUGCAGAUUUCUUUCUAAAUAGGUUGCAAUUGCAUUUGAUUUUAAAUAUCAAUCCAUAUUUUUCAUAAGAAAAUAUAUUUUACUAAUUAAUUCAUUAGAUCAAUGAUUUUAUGAUAUAAAUUCUUAAGAUUUAAACUACUAUUAUUAUUAUUUUUAAAGUUCAAUUAGGCCCUUAUGUUUAUUAUUUGAAUUUAUCUGACUAG
rnacentral:lncRNA from 1 species